GACGAACGCUGGCGGCAUGCCUAACACAUGCAAGUCGAACGAGACGUUCGGGUUUAGGGGCGCAGGGUUGCGUAAGGCGUGGUAACCUGCCCUUAGGUUCGGAAUAACUCCCCGAAAGGGGUGCUAAUACCGGAUAAUUUCUUCGGACCAAAGAUUUAUCGCCUUUGGAUGGGCCCGCGUUGGAUUAGCUAGUUGGUAGGGUAAAAGCCUACCAAGGCGACGAUCCAUAGCUGGUCUGAGAGGAUGAUCAGCCACACUGGGACUGAGACACGGCCCAGACUCGUACGGGAGGCAGCGGUGGGGAAUAUUGGACAAUGGGCGAAAGCCUGAUCCAGCAAUGCCGCGUGAGUGAUGAAGGCCUUAGGGUUGUAAAGCUCUUUUACCCGAGAUGAUAAUGACAGUACCGGGAGAAUAAGCACCGGCUAACUCCGUG
rnacentral:rRNA from 1 species